UGAGAGGCACUAACUCUUCUUCCUCAAGUAU
rnacentral:piRNA from 1 species